rnacentral:rRNA from 1 species
GCACCCCAGUUCAUCGGCGGACGGGUGAGUAAUGACUAGGAAUCUGCCCGAUAGUGGGGGACAACGUUUCGAAAGGAACGCUAAUACCGCAUACGUCCUACGGGAGAAAGUGGGGGCUCUUCGGACCUCACGCUAUCGGAUGAGCCUAGGUCGGAUUAGCUAGUUGGUGGGGUAAAGGCUCACCAAGGCGACGAUCCGUAACUGGUCUGAGAGGAUGAUCAGUCACACUGGAACUGAGACACGGUCCAGACUCCUACGGGAGGCAGCAGUGGGGAAUAUUGGACAAUGGGCGAAAGCCUGAUCCAGCCAUGCCGCGUGUGUGAAGAAGGUCUUCGGAUUGUAAAGCACUUUAAGUUGGGAGGAAGGGCUGUAAGCGAAUACCUUGCAGUUUUGACGUUACCGACAGAAUAAGCACCGGCUAACUUCGUGCCAGCAGCCGCGGUAAUACGAAGGGUGCAAGCGUUAAUCGGAAUUACUGGGCGUAAAGCGCGCGUAGGUGGUUUGGUAAGUUGGAUGUGAAAGCCCCGGGCUCAACCUGGGAACUGCAUCCAAAACUGCCUGACUAGAGUACGGUAGAGGGUGGUGGAAUUUCCUGUGUAGCGGUGAAAUGC